GCGAUGGCUCAGUUGGUAGAGCAUCUGCCUGGUAAGCGGAAGGUCGCCGGUUCGGUCUCGGCAAGAAUGCA
rnacentral:tRNA from 1 species